UAGGUGGGAUUACAGGUAUGUGCCAUCAUGC
rnacentral:piRNA from 1 species